UGGGAGACAGGUAUUUAUCACUAUUCACUCAUAACCCCACUUUCUCAAUAUUAUGCUAAAAAGGCAAAAAUAAUUAUUGAACACUGGGAUGAGGCAAUAUAUGCCUGACAUGAUGAAAGAACAGAAGCAACAUGUCAUAUGGAAAAGAGGACCCACAUAUUAUAGGUACAUUUGCCAAAGCUGUAUGCAACAAUUUUUUUUAUAUUAAAACAAAAAACUUACAGGGGCAGUUGUAUGGAAAAGAGGACCCACUUAUUAUAGGGACAUUUGCAUACAAAAAUUGAAUCCUAUACUGCUAUAGCUCGUACGUACAGCAAUUGAAUCAAUGGUCACCAGUGGCAUAGAAGAGAAGAUAGUGGAAUGGGGACCAUAUAUGCUAUCAUUCCUAGCUACUAUUUUAAAAUUAGGCAUUUCAAUUCUUACAUUACUUUGAAUAUUCGUGUUCUACUAUAUAACAAUUUGGGAAGUAAAAUAUUAACUUUCUAAAUUUCAAAAGUAUAAUCAAAUUUUUAAAAUAUAUUAAAUAAUUUAUUACACUAUGCCUCUACACAUUAGGGCAAUGAACAAACCUAAUAUAUCAAAGUACCUUUUAAAAAUGUUGGAAUUUUAUCUAAUUGACUAAAAAGUAAAAAAGAAAAGAAUUUGAGUAUCAAAUGAGGAAAUAUCCAGUUUAGAAGAAAAAAGCAAUUAGAUGACCACAUCUUCAACUACUUGGCUAGAAUUGCAAGGAAAUUGAAGAGAUAGCUGAGCUCUAAUCAAACAAAACAUAGAUGUGUUUAAUAG
rnacentral:misc_RNA from 1 species